rnacentral:sRNA from 1 species
AUCAAUGUGAAGUACUGAUCCUCCCCCUUAGGGUGCUUCACACCCAGCGCCCCGUCCGACCUGUGUCGGUCGGGGCGUUUUUCC